rnacentral:rRNA from 1 species
UAGUCAUAUGCUUGUCUCAAAGAUUAAGCCAUGCAUGUCUAAGCACAAGCCGAUUAAUGGUGAAGCCGCGAAUGGCUCAUUACAACAGCCAUAGUUUCUUAGAUCUUACUUUUCUACUUGGAUAACUGUGGUAAUUCUAGAGCUAAUACACGCAAACAAGCUCAGACCUUACGGAAUGAGCGCAUUUAUUAGAACAAAAACCAAUCGGGCUUCGGUCCGUCAUUUGGUGAAUCUGAAUAACUUUGCUGAUCGCACGGUCUUCGUACCGGCGACAUAUCUUUCAAAUGUCUGCCUUAUCAACUUUCGAUGGUAGUUUAUGCGCCUACCAUGGUUGUAACGGGUAACGGAGAAUAAGGGUUCGACUCCGGAGAGGGAGCCUGAGAAACGGCUACCACAUCCAAGGAAGGCAGCAGGCGCGCAAAUUACCCACUCCCGGCACGGGGAGGUAGUGACGAAAAAUAACAAUGCUGAAAUUCAAUUUCGGUAAUUGGAAUGAGUACACUUUAAAUCCCUUAACGAGGAUCCAUU